UUAAGCGACUAAGCGUACACGGUGGAUGCCCUGGCAGUCAGAGGCGAUGAAGGACGUGCUAAUCUGCGAAAAGCGUCGGUAAGGUGAUAUGAACCGUUACAGCCGGCGAUGUCCGAAUGGGGAAACCCAGUGUGAUUCGUCACACUAUCGUUAACUGAAUACAUAAGUUAACGAGGCGAACCGGGGGAACUGAAACAUCUAAGUACCCCGAGGAAAAGAAAUCAACCGAGAUUCCCCCAGUAGCGGCGAGCGAACGGGGAGCAGCCCAGAGUCUGAAUCAGCUUGUGUGUUAGUGGAACGGUCUGGAAAGUCCGACGGUACAGGGUGAUAGUCCCGUACACCAAAAUGCACAGGCUGUGAACUCGAAGAGUAGGGCGGGACACGUGGUAUCCUGUCUGAAUAUGGGGGGACCAUCCUCCAAGGCUAAAUACUCCUGACUGACCGAUAGUGAACCAGUACCGUGAGGGAAAGGCGAAAAGAACCCCGGCGAGGGGAGUGAAAAAGAACCUGAAACCGUGUACGUACAAGCAGUGGGAGCACCUUCGGGUGUGACUGCGUACCUUUUGUAUAAUGGGUCAGCGACUUAUAUUCUGUAGCAAGGUUAACCGUAUAGGGGAGCCGCAGGGAAACCGAGUCUUAACUGGGCGUUAAGUUGCAGGGUAUAGACCCGAAACCCGGUGAUCUAGCCAUGGGCAGGUUGAAGGUUGGGUAACACUAACUGGAGGACCGAACCGACUAAUGUUGAAAAAUUAGCGGAUGACUUGUGGCUGGGGGUGAAAGGCCAAUCAAACCGGGAGAUAGCUGGUUCUCCCCGAAAGCUAUUUAGGUAGCGCCUCGUGAACUCAUCUUCGGGGGUAGAGCACUGUUUCGGCUAGGGGGUCAUCCCGACUUACCAACCCGAUGCAAACUACGAAUACCGAAGAAUGUUAUCACGGGAGACACACGGCGGGUGCUAACGUCCGUCGUGAAGAGGGAAACAACCCAGACCGCCAGCUAAGGUCCCAAAGUCAUGGUUAAGUGGGAAACGAUGUGGGAAGGCACAGACAGCCAGGAUGUUGGCUUAGAAGCAGCCAUCAUUUAAAGAAAGCGUAAUAGCUCACUGGUCGAGUCGGCCUGCGCGGAAGAUGUAACGGGGCUAAACCAUGCACCGAAGCUGCGGCAGCGACGCUUAUGUGUUGUUGGGUAGGGGAGCGUUCUGUAAGCCUGCGAAGGUGACCUGUGAGGGUUGCUGGAGGUAUCAGAAGUGCGAAUGCUGACAUAAGUAACGAUAAAGCGGGUGAAAAGCCCGCUCGCCGGAAGACCAAGGGUUCCUGUCCAACGUUAAUCGGGGCAGGGUGAGUCGACCCCUAAGGCGAGGCCGAAAGGCGUAGUCGAUGGGAAACAGGUUAAUAUUCCUGUACUUGGUGUUACUGCGAAGGGGGGACGGAGAAGGCUAUGUUAGCCGGGCGACGGUUGUCCCGGUUUAAGCAUGUAGGCUGGUUAUCCAGGCAAAUCCGGAUAAUCAAGGCUGAGGUGUGAUGACGAGGCACUACGGUGCUGAAGUAACAAAUGCCCUGCUUCCAGGAAAAGCCUCUAAGCAUCAGGUAACAUCAAAUCGUACCCCAAACCGACACAGGUGGUCAGGUAGAGAAUACCAAGGCGCUUGAGAGAACUCGGGUGAAGGAACUAGGCAAAAUGGUGCCGUAACUUCGGGAGAAGGCACGCUGGUGUGUAGGUGAAGUCCCUGCGGAUGGAGCUGAGACCAGUCGAAGAUACCAGCUGGCUGCAACUGUUUAUUAAAAACACAGCACUGUGCAAACACGAAAGUGGACGUAUACGGUGUGACGCCUGCCCGGUGCCGGAAGGUUAAUUGAUGGGGUUAUCCGUAAGGAGAAGCUCUUGAUCGAAGCCCCGGUAAACGGCGGCCGUAACUAUAACGGUCCUAAGGUAGCGAAAUUCCUUGUCGGGUAAGUUCCGACCUGCACGAAUGGCGUAAUGAUGGCCAGGCUGUCUCCACCCGAGACUCAGUGAAAUUGAACUCGCUGUGAAGAUGCAGUGUACCCGCGGCAAGACGGAAAGACCCCGUGAACCUUUACUAUAGCUUGACACUGAACAUUGAGCCUUGAUGUGUAGGAUAGGUGGGAGGCUUUGAAGCGUGGACGCCAGUCUGCGUGGAGCCAACCUUGAAAUACCACCCUUUAAUGUUUGAUGUUCUAACGUUGGCCCCUUAUCGGGGUUGCGGACAGUGUCUGGUGGGUAGUUUGACUGGGGCGGUCUCCUCCCAAAGCGUAACGGAGGAGCACGAAGGUUAGCUAAUCCUGGUCGGACAUCAGGAGGUUAGUGCAAUGGCAUAAGCUAGCUUGACUGCGAGCGUGACGGCGCGAGCAGGUGCGAAAGCAGGUCAUAGUGAUCCGGUGGUUCUGAAUGGAAGGGCCAUCGCUCAACGGAUAAAAGGUACUCCGGGGAUAACAGGCUGAUACCGCCCAAGAGUUCAUAUCGACGGCGGUGUUUGGCACCUCGAUGUCGGCUCAUCACAUCCUGGGGCUGAAGUAGGUCCCAAGGGUAUGGCUGUUCGCCAUUUAAAGUGGUACGCGAGCUGGGUUUAGAACGUCGUGAGACAGUUCGGUCCCUAUCUGCCGUGGGCGCUGGAGAAUUGAGGGGGGCUGCUCCUAGUACGAGAGGACCGGAGUGGACGCAUCACUGGUGUUCGGGUUGUCAUGCCAAUGGCACUGCCCGGUAGCUAAAUGCGGAAGAGAUAAGUGCUGAAAGCAUCUAAGCACGAAACUUGCCCCGAGAUGAGUUCUCCCUGAGACUUUAAGUCUCCUGAAGGAACGUUGAAGACGACGACGUUGAUAGGCCGGGUGUGUAAGCGCAGCGAUGCGUUGAGCUAACCGGUACUAAUGAACCGUGAGGCUUAACCUU
rnacentral:rRNA from 1 species